rnacentral:rRNA from 1 species
GUCGGCUGCCUGAAUUGUAUUCUAGAGAAGUCUUAUCCGUGCUGGGCCAUGUACAAGUCUCUUGGAACAGAGCGUCAUAGAGGGUGAGAAUCCCGUCCUUGACGUGGACUCCCAGUGCUUUGUGUUGCGCUCUCAACGAGUCGAGUUGUUUGGGAAUGCAGCUCAGAAUGGGUGGUAAAUUCCAUCUAAAGCUAAAUAUUGGAGAGAGACCGAUCGAGAACAACUACCGAGAGGAAAAGAUGAAAAGCACUUUGGAGAGAGAGUUAAACACUACGUGAAAUUGUUGAAAUGGAAACGCUUGAAGUCCGUCCGGUUCUCUGGGACUCCUCCUUGCUGUUGGUUGCUGUCCUUCCCGGUCUAUCGGCCCCCCUGUGUUUUGACUGAU